rnacentral:tRNA from 1 species
GCCUUUGUGGUAUAACUGGAAGCAUACUCGACUCGUAUUCGAGAGGUUCAGGGUUCGAGUCCUGGCUACGGCA